rnacentral:rRNA from 1 species
ACGCUCGACACCUACGGGAGGCAGCAGUGGGGAAUAUUGCACAAUGGGGGAAACCCUGAUGCAGCGACGCCGCGUGAGCGAAGAAGUAUUUCGGUAUGUAAAGCUCUAUCAGCAGGGAAGAAACUGACGGUACCUGACUAAGAAGCACCGGCUAAAUACGUGCCAACAGCCGCGGUAAUCUGAGCGGCUGGCAAGGC